GUGACGCUACGGACUUAAAAUCCGUCGACUUUUAAAAUCGUGAGGGUUCAAGUC
rnacentral:tRNA from 1 species